rnacentral:rRNA from 1 species
GACGGAGGAGGCAAGCGUUAUCCGGAAUUAUUGGGCGUAAAGGGUACGUAGGCGGCUGGUCAAGUCUGGGGUCAAAGGCCACAGCUCAACUGUGGGAAGGCCCUGGAAACUGACCGGCUAGAGUGAGGUAGGGGUUGCGGGAAUUCCCGGUGUAGCGGUGAAAUGCGUAGAGAUCGGCAGGAAGACCAAGGGGGAAGCCAGGGGGCUGGCCGCAGGCUGACGCUGAGGUACGAAAGCUAGGGGAGCGAAUGGG